UGCGGCAAGUUGUAGCGGGCACCGCUGACCGUGUUUCCCUUUGGGGCACCUCUUUAUCUAGAAGCUGAGUUUAGUUUCUUCAGAAGUUGUGGCUUCUCCUGGUUACGUUGUGCCUGACCGAGGAACUGGCAGGAGCGGUACCUGGGGAGUUUCUUGCCUUUUGGGAGGUCUGAG